UGGGGAAUAUUGCACAAUGGGCGCAAGCCUGAUGCAGCGACGCCGCGUGAGGGAUGGAGGCCUUCGGGUUGUAAACCUCUUUCGCCAGUGAAGCAGGCCAUCUUCUUUGUGGGGUGGUUGACGGUAGCUGGAUAAGAAGCGCCGGCUAACUACGUGCCAGCAGCCGCGGUAAUACGUAGGGCGCGAGCGUUGUCCGGAAUUAUUGGGCGUAAAGAGCUCGUAGGCGGCUGGUCGCGUCUGUCGUGAAAUCCCCUGGCUUAACUGGGGGCUUGCGGUGGGUACGGGCCGGCUUGAGUGCGGUAGGGGAGACUGGAAUUCCUGGUGUAGCGGUGGAAUGCGCAGAUAUCAGGAGGAACACCGGAGGCGAAGGCGGGUCUCUGGGCCGUUACUGACGCUGAGGAGCGAAAGCGUGGGGAGCGAACAGG
rnacentral:rRNA from 1 species